GUCAGCUUUUUUUUUUUUCAAUUUUUUUUUUAGUUGUAAAAUACCUUUAUUUUAUUUAUUCUUAUGUGGUGCUGAGGAUUGAACCCAGUGUCUCACACAUGCUAGACAAGCACUCUACCACUGAGCCACAACCCCAGCCACUCAAUCAGCUUUUACUACAAUAAAGCUGUGAAACAAGCUUCCCAUAAAUGCACAGAUUACAACAGUAAGCAUUUCUUUCCUUGCAAGCAUUUACCUUUUUUGCUUGUAAAUGUCUACAGAUUCCAGUUUCAGUUCUAGGCUUCUAUGGGCUCCCAUCUCUUACCCUUUUUUCUAUAUUCUCCUUGAAACUUCAGCCCUCUGGGGCAUGCACUUCUCAUGACAAAUGGCAAGUACGCAAGAACUCAAAACCAACUGUAACUACGCGUUAAAAGAUUCAGCUCCUAUUGCAUCAUGUCUGUCCGCAUUUCAAUGGCCAAAGCAAAUCACAAAGCUAACCUAUAAGCCAGUGCGGCAAGAAAAUCUACUCUGCUCCAAGGAAGAAAAGUAUAUGACUGAAUAUUUGCUGAAUGAUUCUCCACAUGUAUCACAAUGGAAGUGAGUCUUGUGGCAGAACGAGCCCUCAACCUGUCCAGGAGCCCCCAUGGUAUAAUUAAUAAUCAGCCCAGGGACAUCCUGUGGGAUCUUAACCCUAAAACUGAUGGGGGCCAGCCAGCUGCUGCAAGCAGCAUUUACUAAAUGAAGGCAGGACCACAAGCAGGAAAAUCUUGGGGACUCCAAUACAUCGACAAACAAAAUACAACUGCAGAAUAGUAGUGUUGCAUCCAG
rnacentral:lncRNA from 1 species